rfam:Triticum aestivum genome assembly, contig: Triticum_aestivum_CS42_TGACv1_scaffold_050209_1BS
UACCUGCUCCCUCCGUCCCAAAAUUCUUGUCUUAGAUUUGUCCAAAUACGGAUGUAUGGAGUCACGUUUUAGUAUUAGGUACAUCUGUAUCUAGACAAAACUAAGACAAGAAUUUUAGGAUGGAGGGAGUACUUG